AUGUCACAAUGUAGAAAAUUCUAUGAAUAAAUGUGCUGUAUUUUUUGUGUUACUGUAUUUUAUCCUGUUUCUGAGAACCAUAGUGGAAGAAAAUAAUUUGUUUUUGUGUUAUUCUUUGUCAAAUUGUAUUAUAAGUCUGUCUGGUCUCCA